rnacentral:rRNA from 1 species
GCAAUAUUAAUUUGUUGCUAGACUUAAGCAUAAUUCUCAAGACAAUAACUAAGACAAUACGCAGCGAAGAUAUUACUGUUGUCGAUAAAUCUUCUAUUAAGGAUUUGGACGAUGAGAGGAGGACAUCUAUUGAAAAUAAGGGAAUUGGGAAUUGAAGAUUUUAGUACUCAUAAAGAUACUAUUUUAGAAAUGUUAAUGGAUUCUGCAAGUUAUGAAAUUUUCUCCAAGCAAAAUUAUUUUAGUAGGUCAUGGUGAAUUCAGCAUUUAUUCGAUUGAUAUGGAAUUACGUGGGAAAUAUCGUGACGCAGGCAUUGAAAUUAUCCCGGUUAUCGGCGAUGUUCAGGAUCGUGACCGCAUGUUUGAGAUUAUGGAGAUGUACAAACCCCGUAUUGUCUAUCAUGCAGCAGCCCACAAGCAUGUCCCAUUAAUGGAACAGAACCACUCGUAUCACGGGAUUGUAAAUACUCUUUUAUGGUAUCUACUUUUCUGUCCGGUAAAAUAUCGAUGAUUUCUUUGUUCUCCACAUCUGCAAUGACUGUUUGAAACCUCUCUCCUCCUGCAUCUCCUUUAAACUCAUCAAUAGCUAUAGCACGUGGUAGAACCUUCUUUGUUUGCAGGGGAUGACGAUCAAACAAACGGAUUAAUCGAUUCGUUGUCAUACCAGAUAAACGGGCUGCAUCCGUAAAUGAACCGAUUGCCGAGUAAGUUCGUGCGCUCAUUUGUAAUGAAUUGGUGCACCUUUGAUACCGAUCCACCAUUUGUAAAUGUUCAUAAAAGGUAUGGUGGCAAUGGGUACAUAGGGGCCCUCAUCGGGUUACCGAAUUCAGUCAAACUCCGAAUGCCAGCUACUUAUCCUUGGGAGUCAGACUAUGGGUGAUAAGGUUCAUAGUCGAAAGGGAAACAGCCCAGACCGCCAGCUAAGGUCCCAAAGUAUACGUUAAGUGGAAAAGGAUGUGGAGUUGCCCAGACAACCAGGAUGUUGGCUUAGAAGCAGCCACCAUUUAAAGAGUGCGUAAUAGCUCACUGGUCGAGUGACUCUGCGCCGAAAAUGUACCGGGGCUAAACGUAUCACCGAAGCUGUGGAUUGACACCGUAUGGUGUCAGUGGUAGGAGAGCGUUCUAAGGACUGCGAAGCUAGACCGUAAGGACUGGUGGAGUGCUUAGAAGUGAGAAUGCCGGUAUGAGUAGCGAAAGAUGGGUGAGAAUCCCAUCCACCGAAUGCCUAAGGUUUCCUGAGGAAGGCUCGUCCGCUCAGGGUUAGUCGGGACCUAAGUCGAGGCCGAUAGGCGUAGACGAUGGACAACAGGUUGAUAUUCCUGUACCACCUUUCUUCCAUUUGAGCAAUGGGGGGACGCAGGAGGAUAGGGUAAGCGCACUGCUGGAUAUGUGCGUCUAAGCAGUUAGGCUGAUGAUGAGGCAAAUCCCAUCAUCGUGAAGGCUGAGCUGUGAUAGCGAGCGAAUUAUAGUAGCGAAGUUCCUGAUUCCACACUGCCAAGAAAAGCCUCUAGCGAGGAAGAUGGUGCCCGUACCGCAAACCGACACAGGUAGGCGAGGAGAGAAUCCUAAGGUGAGCGAGAGAACUCUCGUUAAGGAACUCGGCAAAAUGACCCCGUAACUUCGGGAGAAGGGGUGCUCUGGUAGGGUGCAAGCCCGAGAGAGCCGCAGUGAAUAGGCCCAGGCGACUGUUUAGCAAAAACACAGGUCUCUGCGAAGCCGUAAGGCGAAGUAUAGGGGCUGACGCCUGCCCGGUGCUGGAAGGUUAAGAGGAGUGCUUAGCGCAAGCGAAGGUGCGAAUCGAAGCCCCAGUAAACGGCGGCCGUAACUAUAACGGUCCUAAGGUAGCGAAAUUCCUUGUCGGGUAAGUUCCG